rnacentral:snRNA from 1 species
GUAUUGCUUUGGCAAUACAUAUACUAAAAUUGGAAUGAUACAGUGAAGAUUAGCAUGGCCCCUUUGCAAGGAUGACACCCAAAUAUGUGAAGCAUUCCAUAUAUUU